GGUUAAGCGACUAAGCGUACACGGUGGAUGCCCUGGCAGUCAGAGGCGAUGAAGGACGUGCUAAUCUGCGAAAAGCGUCGGUAAGGUGAUAUGAACCGUUAUAGCCGGCGAUGUCCGAAUGGGGAAACCCAGUGCAAUUCGUUGCACUAUCGUUAACUGAAUACAUAGGUUAACGAGGCGAACCGGGGGAACUGAAACAUCUAAGUACCCCGAGGAAAAGAAAUCAACCGAGAUUCCCCCAGUAGCGGCGAGCGAACGGGGAGCAGCCCAGAGUCUGAAUCAGCUUGUGUGUUAGUGGAACGGUCUGGAAAGUCCGACGGUACAGGGUGAUAGUCCCGUACACCAAAAUGCACAGGCUGUGAACUCGAAGAGUAGGGCGGGACACGUGGUAUCCUGUCUGAAUAUGGGGGGACCAUCCUCCAAGGCUAAAUACUCCUGACUGACCGAUAGUGAACCAGUACCGUGAGGGAAAGGCGAAAAGAACCCCGGCGAGGGGAGUGAAAAAGAACCUGAAACCGUGUACGUACAAGCAGUGGGAGCACCUUCGGGUGUGACUGCGUACCUUUUGUAUAAUGGGUCAGCGACUUAUAUUCUGUAGCAAGGUUAACCGUAUAGGGGAGCCGCAGGGAAACCGAGUCUUAACUGGGCGUUAAGUUGCAGGGUAUAGACCCGAAACCCGGUGAUCUAGCCAUGGGCAGGUUGAAGGUUGGGUAACACUAACUGGAGGACCGAACCGACUAAUGUUGAAAAAUUAGCGGAUGACUUGUGGCUGGGGGUGAAAGGCCAAUCAAACCGGGAGAUAGCUGGUUCUCCCCGAAAGCUAUUUAGGUAGCGCCUCGUGAAUUCAUCUUCGGGGGUAGAGCACUGUUUCGGCUAGGGGGUCAUCCCGACUUACCAACCCGAUGCAAACUACGAAUACCGAAGAAUGUUAUCACGGGAGACACACGGCGGGUGCUAACGUCCGUCGUGAAGAGGGAAACAACCCAGACCGCCAGCUAAGGUCCCAAAGUCAUGGUUAAGUGGGAAACGAUGUGGGAAGGCACAGACAGCCAGGAUGUUGGCUUAGAAGCAGCCAUCAUUUAAAGAAAGCGUAAUAGCUCACUGGUCGAGUCGGCCUGCGCGGAAGAUGUAACGGGGCUAAACCAUGCACCGAAGCUGCGGCAGCGACACUAUGUGUUGUUGGGUAGGGGAGCGUUCUGUAAGCCUGCGAAGGUGACCUGUGAGGGUUGCUGGAGGUAUCAGAAGUGCGAAUGCUGACAUAAGUAACGAUAAAGCGGGUGAAAAGCCCGCUCGCCGGAAGACCAAGGGUUCCUGUCCAACGUUAAUCGGGGCAGGGUGAGUCGACCCCUAAGGCGAGGCCGAAAGGCGUAGUCGAUGGGAAACAGGUUAAUAUUCCUGUACUUGGUGUUACUGCGAAGGGGGGACGGAGAAGGCUAUGUUAGCCGGGCGACGGUUGUCCCGGUUUAAGCAUGUAGGCUGAUUGUCCAGGCAAAUCCGGAUAAUCAAGGCUGAGGUGUGAUGACGAGGCACUACGGUGCUGAAGUAACAAAUGCCCUGCUUCCAGGAAAAGCCUCUAAGCAUCAGGUAACAUCAAAUCGUACCCCAAACCGACACAGGUGGUCAGGUAGAGAAUACCAAGGCGCUUGAGAGAACUCGGGUGAAGGAACUAGGCAAAAUGGUGCCGUAACUUCGGGAGAAGGCACGCUGGUGUGUAGGUGAAGCCCCUGCGGGUGGAGCUGAGACCAGUCGAAGAUACCAGCUGGCUGCAACUGUUUAUUAAAAACACAGCACUGUGCAAACACGAAAGUGGACGUAUACGGUGUGACGCCUGCCCGGUGCCGGAAGGUUAAUUGAUGGGGUUAUCCGUAAGGAGAAGCUCUUGAUCGAAGCCCCGGUAAACGGCGGCCGUAACUAUAACGGUCCUAAGGUAGCGAAAUUCCUUGUCGGGUAAGUUCCGACCUGCACGAAUGGCGUAAUGAUGGCCAGGCUGUCUCCACCCGAGACUCAGUGAAAUUGAACUCGCUGUGAAGAUGCAGUGUACCCGCGGCAAGACGGAAAGACCCCGUGAACCUUUACUAUAGCUUGACACUGAACAUUGAGCCUUGAUGUGUAGGAUAGGUGGGAGGCUUUGAAGCGUGGACGCCAGUCUGCGUGGAGCCAACCUUGAAAUACCACCCUUUAAUGUUUGAUGUUCUAACGUUGGCCCCUUACCGGGGUUGCGGACAGUGUCUGGUGGGUAGUUUGACUGGGGCGGUCUCCUCCCAAAGCGUAACGGAGGAGCACGAAGGUUAGCUAAUCCUGGUCGGACAUCAGGAGGUUAGUGCAAUGGCAUAAGCUAGCUUGACUGCGAGCGUGACGGCGCGAGCAGGUGCGAAAGCAGGUCAUAGUGAUCCGGUGGUUCUGAAUGGAAGGGCCAUCGCUCAACGGAUAAAAGGUACUCCGGGGAUAACAGGCUGAUACCGCCCAAGAGUUCAUAUCGACGGCGGUGUUUGGCACCUCGAUGUCGGCUCAUCACAUCCUGGGGCUGAAGUAGGUCCCAAGGGUAUGGCUGUUCGCCAUUUAAAGUGGUACGCGAGCUGGGUUUAGAACGUCGUGAGACAGUUCGGUCCCUAUCUGCCGUGGGCGCUGGAGAAUUGAGGGGGGCUGCUCCUAGUACGAGAGGACCGGAGUGGACGCAUCACUGGUGUUCGGGUUGUCAUGCCAAUGGCACUGCCCGGUAGCUAAAUGCGGAAGAGAUAAGUGCUGAAAGCAUCUAAGCACGAAACUUGCCCCGAGAUGAGUUCUCCCUGAGACUUUAAGUCUCCUGAAGGAACGUUAAAGACGAUGACGUUGAUAGGCCGGGUGUGUAAGCGCAGCGAUGCGUUGAGCUAACCGGUACUAAUGAACCGUGAGGCUUAACCUU
rnacentral:rRNA from 1 species